GGCCAACCCGUCUCUGUGGCAAAAGAGUGGGAAGACUCCGGGUAGCGGUGAUAAACCUACCGAACUUAGUUAUAGCUGGUUGCCUAAGAAAUGAAUAGAAGUUCAGCCUCGCACUCCUCACCUCACAAANAUUUAUAAUUCUACGAAUCCGAGAAAUCUGCAAGAGUUAGUCAAAGGGGGUACAGCCCCUUUGAAACAGGAUACAACCUCUUCAGGAGGUUAAAGAUUAUACNAAAUAACAUAC
rnacentral:rRNA from 1 species